CGGCGAGUGAAGAGGGAAGAGCCCAAGAUUGAAAGCUGGCGUCUUCGGCGUCCGCAUUGUAAUCUCAAGAAGUGUUUUCCGCUUCGGACCAUGCCUAAGUCCCUUGGAAAAGGGCAUCAUAGAGGGUGAUAAUCCCGUACAUGGCAUGGAGCGCCCGAAGCUUUGUGAUACGCUUUCUAAGAGUCGAGUUGUUUGGGAAUGCAGCUCAAAAUGGGUGGUAAAUGCCAUCUAAGGCUAAAUAUUGGGGAGAGACCGAUAGCGAACAAGUACAGUGAUGGGAAGAUGAAAAGAACUUUGAAAAGAGAGUUAAACAGUACGUGAAAUUGCCAAAAGGGAAGGGUAGGAGGUCAGAGAUGCGGCCUGGGAUUCAGCCUUGCUUUUGCUUGGUGUUUUUCCCAGAUUGCAGGCCAACGUCGGUUUUGGGCACUGGAGAAGGGUAGGAGGAACGUGGCACCUCUCGGGGUGUGUUAUAGCCUCCUACUGGAUACAGCGACCGAGACCGAGGACAGCAGCGUACUCGCAAGAGCGGGCCUUCGGGCACCUUUACGCUUAGGGCGUUGGCAUAAUGGCCCUCUACCACCCGUCU
rnacentral:rRNA from 1 species